rnacentral:pre_miRNA from 13 species
AUCUUUGGUUAUCUAGCUGUAUGAGUUUAUGUAAUAUCAUAAAGCUAGAGAACCGAAUGU